GACGUAGGGCGCGAGCGUUGUCCGGAAUCACUGGGCGUAAAGGGCGCGUAGGCGGUUUGCUAAGCGUGCGGUGAAAGCUCGGAGCUCAACUCCGCGUCGGCCGUGCGAACUGGUGAACUGGAGCACUGUAGAGGCAGGUGGAAUUCCGGGUGUAGCGGUGGAAUGCGUAGAGAUCCGGAAGAACACCGGUGGCGAAGGCGGCCUGCUGGGCAGUAGCUGACGCUGAGGCGCGACAGCGUGGGGAGCAAACAGG
rnacentral:rRNA from 1 species